rnacentral:rRNA from 1 species
UACGGAGGGUGCAAGCGUUGUCCGGAUUUAUUGGGUUUAAAGGGUGCGUAGGCGGCUGAUUAAGUCAGCGGUGAAAUUCCACAGCUCAACUGUGGAACUGCCAUUGAUACUGGUUAGCUUGAGUACAGAUGAGGUAGGCGGAAUUGACAGUGUAGCGGUGAAAUGCUUAGAUAUUGUCAAGAACACCUAUUGCGAAGGCGGCCUGCUGGGCAGUAGCUGACACUGAGGCGCGACAGCGUGGGGAGCAAACAGG